UCAGGACGAACGCUGGCGGCGUGCCUAAUACAUGCAAGUCGAACGAACUCUGGUAUUGAUUGGUGCUUGCAUCAUGAUUUACAUUUGAGUGAGUGGCGAACUGGUGAGUAACACGUGGGAAACCUGCCCAGAAGCGGGGGAUAACACCUGGAAACAGAUGCUAAUACCGCAUAACAACUUGGACCGCAUGGUCCGAGUUUGAAAGAUGGCUUCGGCUAUCACUUUUGGAUGGUCCCGCGGCGUAUUAGCUAGAUGGUGGGGUAACGGCUCACCAUGGCAAUGAUACGUAGCCGACCUGAGAGGGUAAUCGGCCACAUUGGGACUGAGACACGGCCCAAACUCCUACGGGAGGCAGCAGUAGGGAAUCUUCCACAAUGGACGAAAGUCUGAUGGAGCAACGCCGCGUGAGUGAAGAAGGGUUUCGGCUCGUAAAACUCUGUUGUUAAAGAAGAACAUAUCUGAGAGUAACUGUUCAGGUAUUGACGGUAUUUAACCAGAAAGCCACGGCUAACUACGUGCCAGCAGCCGCGGUAAUACGUAGGUGGCAAGCGUUGUCCGGAUUUAUUGGGCGUAAAGCGAGCGCAGGCGGUUUUUUAAGUCUGAUGUGAAAGCCUUCGGCUCAACCGAAGAAGUGCAUCGGAAACUGGGAAACUUGAGUGCAGAAGAGGACAGUGGAACUCCAUGUGUAGCGGUGAAAUGCGUAGAUAUAUGGAAGAACACCAGUGGCGAAGGCGGCUGUCUGGUCUGUAACUGACGCUGAGGCUCGAAAGUAUGGGUAGCAAACAGGAUUAGAUACCCUGGUAGUCCAUACCGUAAACGAUGAAUGCUAAGUGUUGGAGGGUUUCCGCCCUUCAGUGCUGCAGCUAACGCAUUAAGCAUUCCGCCUGGGGAGUACGGCCGCAAGGCUGAAACUCAAAGGAAUUGACGGGGGCCCGCACAAGCGGUGGAGCAUGUGGUUUAAUUCGAAGCUACGCGAAGAACCUUACCAGGUCUUGACAUACUAUGCAAAUCUAAGAGAUUAGACGUUCCCUUCGGGGACAUGGAUACAGGUGGUGCAUGGUUGUCGUCAGCUCGUGUCGUGAGAUGUUGGGUUAAGUCCCGCAACGAGCGCAACCCUUAUUAUCAGUUGCCAGCAUUAAGUUGGGCACUCUGGUGAGACUGCCGGUGACAAACCGGAGGAAGGUGGGGAUGACGUCAAAUCAUCAUGCCCCUUAUGACCUGGGCUACACACGUGCUACAAUGGAUGGUACAACGAGUUGCGAACUCGCGAGAGUAAGCUAAUCUCUUAAAGCCAUUCUCAGUUCGGAUUGUAGGCUGCAACUCGCCUACAUGAAGUCGGAAUCGCUAGUAAUCGCGGAUCAGCAUGCCGCGGUGAAUACGUUCCCGGGCCUUGUACACACCGCCCGUCACACCAUGAGAGUUUGUAACACCCAAAGUCGGUGGGGU
rnacentral:rRNA from 2 species